UUCGGCCAUAUCACGUUGAAACACCAGUUCUCCUACGAUCACCGAAGUUAAGCAAAGUCGACUCUGGACAGCACAUAAAUGGGUGACCUCUUGGAAAUACCAGGUGCU